CUGGUUCUCACUACGAAUGAACAUUUGACUGACAACUUUGAAAUUACUGAUGAUGAUUCCAUCUCCUUACACUCGGACCAUAAAGCUAUAUCUUUUGACUUAAAAUUGCAUCAACGACCAAAACAAUCCACCGAGCGAAUAGUUUAUAAUUAUUCAAAGGGUGAUUUUGUUGGCCUCCUAAACUGUCUUCGUAACGCUUCUUUGGUGGAUUUAGUUCGCAAUAACUGUGACGACAUUAAUGUUGCUUGGUCCAAGUGGAAAGCUGCUUUCCUGACUGCUGCCGAUAGUUUUAUUCCGAAAACAUCGCUCAAGCGUUCCUUCACGCCUCCUUAUAUUACCAAGGAUCUACUUCACGCCAUCAACAUGAAGGAGUCCCUAAGGAGAAAAGCAAAGGCUAAGAACUCGCCUCAAUUGUGGGAGAAAUUUCGCAAGACUCGGCAACACGUCAAAUGUUGGAUUAAUGCCAAGAAGAGAGAAUACUUAUCUGGACUUUCUCAAUCCUUAUACAAUAACUCUAAAUCAUUUUGGAGAUUUUUUAAGUCUAAAUCUUCAAAAUCUUCCAUACCUGAUGUAAUUAAGAUAGGGGGUCUUAAACUAUUCUCUUCUGAAGAAAAGGCUGAUGCUUUUAAUACUUA
rnacentral:lncRNA from 1 species